GCUCUUUCUUUUGUUUUACUGCCAUUGCUCUGAUAACAACUGUCUGCAUAACAGGAAGGGCUGGUGGGGGAGGUUGGAUUACAAGUGUGACAAGUGCCACUGAUGAUGUUACAGCCAUAGAAUCAUACAAUCAUAAUAACAUGAAUUGAAAGAACCCCAAACGUCAUCUAGUCCAACUCCCUCACAAUGAACCGACAUCUAUAGCUAGAUCAGGUUGCUCAGAACAGUCCCACUCCUGCAACUUACAUCUUUAACAGCAGGUGACAGCUGAAAUCAACAUUAUUCAGAGCAGAAUAAGGAUUCCACUGACACUUCAUUCCCAUCCAAGUGAGUAAAGAAAGUCACACUUUACUGGCAUCCAGGACACCCAAACCUUGCACAAGGAAACAACCAGAGCUGCUUGCAUCAUGCUUCCUGGUAGCCAAUACAAGAUACUUUUAUUAAGGAAGGACUGGAAGGUUCUCACCAGCCCUAUAUGAACUUGAUCAGCACUCUUCAAAGCAGCGCGUCUCUCAGCUGAAGGAAAUCCCUGCUCUACUAAUGGCACGUCUGAUGCCGCUUUCACUCUUCUCACCAUGAAAUCAGGACUUGUAUGGCUACUGCGGGAAACUUGGACACACGCAACAUGAGCUGUGGUCACAUCAUGACUGGAAAGGAAAAAGAUGGGCAACACAGCCAUGCUUGCUUCCUCCUCACAGUUCUGUCCACUUAAUAUACAGACCUAUAAAUUCUUCAGUUUGUACUGCUGCCUCCUGUUUUUCUUUAAUACAAUCAUGAGAAGCCCCUUUGGCACGCAUGCAAGCACUAGGUUGAUGGAGUGUCACUGUUGCUCAGGUUGGGAAUGGCCGUAAUACCCCAGGGAAAUGAGAAAUUGAGGCAAUAUGCCAGUUCAACUGGCUUUCAGACGUAGAUGGCUUGGUCACAUUCAAGAAUUAGCAACAGAUUUCUUCACCCCAUCCUGCCUAUACCCCCCAGCUGGAUCUGGCUUUGCUGAUAAGCAAGUCUUGAUAUUGAAUGGAAUCAGGGUGCAACAGCCUUCUGAAGCACAUUGACAAGGGGAUAUUACCACUGCAACAAGACCAGGGGCUGUUAGCUGCCAACCGGAUUUCCAUGCUAAGAAUGAAAUGAGGAAGUAAUGUAUUGUUUCCAAUAAGUUGCAAAUCAGCA